AGCUUCGUCCUGGAGAGAGCUUGGCGGCUCCUGGCCUUGCGGGUCCUGUGUGACAGUGGGUCUACCGACUGGUGGGAUUCGUGUGUCGCAGGCUCGCUGGGCCGGGUUCGUGACGUCAUAAAACAUGAAGGUAGCUGAAUCCAGGCCAGAACUAACAUUUGCUCCACAGUGGGUCCCAAAAAGUGCUACACCUAGUUCUCACCUCCAACCAUAAUGACCACUUGGCACCAAUAGGACCAAAGAAGUACAUCCCCUGCCCCUGGUUGAUUAUGCAAAUGACAUUUGAGGGCCUUCCAGGAAUAGCAUUCAGGCCCAAGUCACAGUGUUUCUCAACCUGAGGACGACUGACAUUUGGAGACAAUUCUGUGUUGUGGAAACUGACCUGCACAUCGUCAAAAGUUUGCUCACAAUCAGCAGUUGUUUUAUUGCUUUUACAAUAAAAUUUAAAUCAAGGAGGAAUCAUUCACAGAAGGAAGUAGAGCUUGAGUGAUUUAGGGCCAUUUCAUGUCUCUCCCUAGCUCUGCUUUGGUCUUCUACCAAGUAACUCUGCCUUUAGCUUUAAAUUUAAAAAAAAAAAAAAAAAAAAAAAGGAAAGACGAGGAAGGUUAGAGAGAUUGGAUCAGCUUUUCAGAAAAGGAAAGAAACACCACUAUUGUCAUAAACUCCAGGAAACAUUUCUUCAGCCAGCUAAUUUGGGUGCAACUACAGGAUCAAUUGAAUGACUUGGAAGCCCUGUUUGAAGAGGACAACCUAUUAAAGGUACAGGGAGUAUAACUUCUAACUUGCUUGGACUGACUUUUAUAAGAGGUCUAAAUUAUUGAAAUAAUUUUCCAUGAUUCCACUUAUAAUGUGAAAGUGGUACAAACUGUUGUUCAUAAAUGUCUUGAAAAUAGUCAUUUUAAUGUGUAUAUUAAUUUUAGGAAAAAAAUUGAGGAUAGGGUAGGGUUGAAUUUUAUGAUUUUACAUAAUUCCAGGCAUCCUUGCAUAAUCAAUGUGUGUUUACAACUCUUUUAUGGGACUCAGGCAUGAUUCUACUAUGUUAAAUUAUUUUAGAGGAUUGCAGCUGUAGCUUUGUCCUUUUGAUGUUUGAUUGAUCAUGUCUGUAUUUUCUGUGACACUGAGUCCUUGGUCAGCCUUCAGUUACAACAUUGGCACCAGAGGAGAAAAUGUUCCAUUUUAUGGAAGAUGUGAUUUCUAAGAACACAAUGUGGUAAGAAACGAGACUGACUAUGAAAUCUAGAAACAUGUAUUUAUGGCUACAAAUUGAUAACGGGAAAUGUCUUAAGAAGACGGAAACUGACAGAUUGUAGGAUGGAUCAUCAGUAGAGACCUUCCAGAGAAAAUCAACCUCAAUCUAUUAUCUUAAGGGCAAAGAACAGAGUGAAGAUGAGAAGACAUGCUAUUGGUGGUCAUUGUUACUGAACAACUGUCCAACAGAAAGUGUCUUAUUGCUUCAGGCAAGCCACUCUCCUCUACCUACUCAGUUACUCACACCAGGUAACAGAACACUCAGGGCAUAGAAAUAGAUAUGAAAAUGUGUUUGUUUUCCUUUGUAAUGUAAUAAAUCUGAUUGCAUGCUGACCAUGACCUAGGCACUGUCAUGGGUCUCAGGGAUUACAAAGACAGUUGUUACUUAGUCUUUGUUUUCCAAAGGCUCCCAAUCUAGUAGGAGAGACUGGCAAGUAGAUAGUGCAUUAAGGCCAAUACUAUAAUAGAGGUAGCACUGGAAUACAAAGAAGCAGAUAUUAAAUCUACAUCU